UGAUUUAGUUAGAAUCAA
rnacentral:snRNA from 1 species